GUAAUAAAAAAAAAUCAUAUGACAUUUAUUUAUAUAUCUCUCGUCAUUAUAGCAGCAAAUAAUAUUUUCAUAGAUUAUCCUGAUUCUACUUACAACUAGCAGCAUGUAUCACAUAAACGAUUACUCCCAUAACAUAUCUUUGAGACUGUCAGAAGUCUUAGGUGACAUUGGUGUUAAUGAGACAAUGGUGAUGAAAAGAAGAAAGAUACACAUGUUGAUGGAGACAAUGAAUACCAUCACUAUAAGGUUAAAUGAUAGAAACGAAACAAUAUUUUACCCAGGAAGUCAGAGUGAAGGUUCAACAACACUAGGACUUCACUCUGAUAUUGAUAUUUUACAAUGUUUUAAUAAUUUCAAUGUGAUACAAGACUGGGCUGACUGGAAAAAAGGGAAGACAAAUCUACUGAUGAUACAGGAUAACAAUACAACACCCGGUUACUGUUCUCUACAACAGUUAGGAACUAAUGUACCUCUACCAGUAACUGAUGUUAGAGAUAAAUAUCAUAUUAGAGAUAUAAAUGGAAGAGUACUUUUAAAAAAUGAUAUACAGGAGAGCAUAAUCCCUGAGGGAGGACAAAUACAUGGGCCAUCAAUUGCAACACAAGUGAAAGAUGGAUUUGCUGCAACUGACAGUGCUCUAGCCCUUCUCUGUGUAUCAUGGCCCCGUUCAGCUUUAGAUUGGUUACAUUACCAGGAAUCAGAUGUAUGGCCAACACAAGAAAUAAAGCAAUAUGCUAUUAGCAGUAGUUGUUAUGUCGUUCCUGUUGGCAGCAAAGUUAGUAUUGACUCACAGAUAGAAUGGAGAAUUUCUACAACACUAGCAGAAAGAUGCUUGAUGUUUAAUUUGAACAUUACACAGUUGAGGUGCUAUGUUUUAAUGAAAAUGAUUGUGAAGUCAUAUCUCAAUUUGAAUGGUGAAAACAAUUUGUCUAGUUUUAUGUGUAAAUCGGUUGUUUUGUAUUGUGUAAAGAAUAUUGAAUCAAAAAUGUGGAAAAAAUGUUAUUUAAUGCAGUGUUUAACAAUCUGUUUAUUACAAUUAUAUAACUGUUUACAGAGGGAAGAAUGUCCACACUUUAUAAUAAAAGAAAAUAACUUAAUGGCAGGACAAUUCACAGCUGAUGAAAAAUACAACCUUUUACAAACAAUAAAUCUUUUAGUACAAAAAGGUGGUCUUGGAUUACUUGGUAUUAAAAUUGAUGAUGUCGGUCAAAGACUGAAAAUAAAAUUGAACAUAAUUCCUCAAGCCAUUCAUUACCCACCAUCUAAACUUGAAAUCAGUAAAGAUGUGUCAACUCAUUUAUAUCUUAACUUUUCAAAAAACAAUAAUGAAUUUCAAAAACAUAUCUUGUAUGACACAGAAUCUCUAUCAAUCUGUAUUCAAAGAUUAAUGAAGUACAGUAAAGAAGGAAAUAAACUAGAACAGUCAGCAUGCAGAUUUCUGGCACCUAAAUUGUUCACUACUUUGGGAUCUAUCUUGGCAUCAUCAAGUAUUGGUCAAUCUGGAUCCAUAUCACAUCAGGCUUUAACCUGGUACUCAACAGGCUUGAAAUCAAGUGAUGUGUCAGACAGAUUAAAACUGGCUUCUAUGUUUUAUUGUACUGGAGAUUUUGGAAGAUCUGAAAUUACUUUGAGAAAUAUAGCGCAACAAUUCAAUAAUGAUGUUACAGUUCCUCUUUGUAGCUGCUAUGAAAAUCAUCUUCGAAAGCCAAAUCCAGAUUUUUUUGAAAUAUGCAAUGACCAAAAUGAAUCUUCUCUUCAACAGUAUAUAGCAUAUUGUGUACAAUUCCUGCAAAGUGAAAUAAACUGUGUUCCUCCUGAACUACGAUAUGAAAUGUUCAGAUCUACACAAGAUGAUAUGCGACAUCAUAGAAACGAACAUUUGGACUACUGGAUGUAUUGGGCGGUUGUGGAUUCUCUCCCUUUUCUUCAUUUUUUACAAUACCAAAUUUACAGCCGGCUACAGAAACAUCAGGAUCAACAACAAGCACUGAAUGAUCUCAUAUGGAUCAUUGAUACAAACGAAAAUCUCAGACACAAAGAAACAGACCUCAAUCUUCUUGGACAACUAAUGGAACAAGCAAAUAGACUUCAAGAUGCACUUAAAUGCUAUAUGAUGUCUCUGCAGAUAAGAUCAAGAAACAAUGCCGCACGGUUUCAUGUCUGCAGGCUACUUGCUACCCUUGCUUCCAGAAGAUUCACAUGAACUUUAAUGAAAUGGAAUGUGACUUGUUUUUGCCAAUGCAAAUAUACCCAUGAGUAAUAAAUGGAAAUGUAGUAUAGUGUGCUUAUGCCAACAUUCACAUGAAUUAUAAUGAAAUUGAAUGGUCAGAAAGGCUUUAAAAAUUAUCUCUCAUCUGAUAAAAAAGAGUGGAUAGAGUGGAUAGAGUACAAGCACAUUAAACUAGUAUAAUAUAUAUUUUGUACAAUGAUAGACACCAAGAAUGUUCAAUCAUGCUUGUAUGCUCCUUUUUAAAAACCAGUGAAGUUGGAACAAAAAUGCCUGUGAAAUAAAUUUUAAGGUAUACUCAGAAUUUUAAAUAUACCAGUCACCACAAUUAAACAUUGCCUGUAUAAAACAUUUUCUUAAUUUUUUUUCUAAUUUAGUAGAAGAUGUUUGAUUUUUUAUAUCAAGUCAAAUAAUAUUUUAUAUCUAUUCAUUUAUACUUUAUCUAUUCAUUUAGCUUUUUUUGCAAUGGUCUAACCAAAACAUUGUAGCUUUAAAACUGAAGUUUGAUUGUUUAUUUUGUACAUGAGCAUCACUUGAUCUUCAAAUUGUCCUAAACUUCUUAUUUUUAUAUUUCUUGACCUGUAUAUUGUUUUCAUUGAUAUUGCUUGUUUUGUACAUGUAGAUAGUCUGUUCAAUUUGUGUUAUCUAGAAAAGUUUAGAUAAGUGUUUGGUAUAUAGAUACUAAUAGUUUACGUGUCUUUGAGGCUUUCUAAUUUGCUGUUAAAGACAUUUUAGGGACAUAUAAUAUGGCAAUAUAAAAGUAUAUCCUAUUAUGUAAUAGUCUUUACAGAAGAACUUAUGAAAAACUAGUAUGUAGUGAUUGAUAUUUUCAUACACUUUUUUGUUAAAGUUAUUUAAUUGAUGAAAUUUUUCCAUGAAGAAAUUAAAUAUUACCAGUUGGAAGUUUGAUCAUUAUAUAUAAACUUUAACUUUUAUACAAUAAUGUUUUUCCUUACAACUAACAUAUUUUUACUAAUUACCAAGCAUAGUAAUAUUACUGUCAAAAACCUUUGUAUUAAUCUGUUUGUUUAAUAAUUUGAUUCAGGAAUAAAAUUUGCAACAAUUA